GAGAUGGCUCAGUUGGUAGAGCAUGAGUCUCUUAAUCUCAGGGGCGUGGGUUCGAGCCCCAGACUGGGAAAA